CAUUAUCGAAUCGUAGGCGAGGGUUGUCGCUGGCCUCUCGGGGCAUGUGCACGCCCGAGCCCUUGAAUCCCAAACACCACAUGUGAACCCACCGUAGGCCUUCGGGCCUAUGUCUUAUCAUAUAAUCUGAAUGUCUAAUAGAAUGUAAACCCAUUUCGUUGCCUUGAAAACGUAACGAAAGAAAACUAUACAACUUUCAACAACGGAUCUCUUGGCUCUCGCAUCGAUGAAGAACACAGCGAAAUGCGAUAAGUAAUGUGAAUUGCAGAUUUUCAGUGAAUCAUCGAAUCUUUGAACGCACCUUGCGCCCCUUGGUAUUCCGAGGGGCAUGCCUGUUUGAGUGUCAUUAAAUCCUCAACCCCUCCGAUUCGUUUCGGUGGGGAUUGGACUUGGAGCGUGCUGGCGAAGGUCGCUCCUCUUUAAAUGCAUCAGCGGAGAAAAUGCCUUUUGCGCCUCUGGCCGUUCAGCGUGAUAAUGAUGUUGCGCUGCGGUCGAGCUUAAGGUCCGCUUCCAAAGGUCCUCGGACAAAUAUACAUAUGACUUUUGACCUC
rnacentral:rRNA from 1 species